rnacentral:rRNA from 1 species
UACGUAGGGGGCGAGCGUUUGUCCGGAUUUAUUGGGCGUAAAGAGCGUGUAGGCGGCCUGGAAGGUCAGCUGUGAAAACUCGAGGCUCAACCUCGGACGUCGGUUGAAACCACCUGGCUAGAGUCCGGAAGAGGAGAGUGGAAUUCCCGGUGUAGCGGGUAGAAAUGCGCAGAUAUCGGGAAGAACACCAGUGGCGAAGGCGGCUCACUGGACCGGUACUGACGCUGAGGCGCGAAAGCGUGGGGAGCAACGGG